rnacentral:rRNA from 1 species
UACGUAGGGUGCGAGCGUUGUCCGGAAUUAUUGGGCGUAAGGGGCUCGUAGGCGGUCUGUCGCGUCGGGAGUGAAAACUCAGGGCUUAACCCUGAGCCUGCUUCCGAUACGGGCAGACUAGAGGUAUGCAGGGGAGAACGGAAUUCCUGGUGUAGCGGUGAAAUGCGCAGAUAUCAGGAGGAACACCGGUGGCGAAGGCGGUUCUCUGGGCAUUACCUGACGCUGAGGAGCGAAAGUGUGGGGAGCGAACAGG